GACACUUGACGAAACACCUCUUGAAGGUGUCGAUCCUGAGUCCUCUGACAAGCUCGAAGUUCUAAGAUUUCAGCUCGUGAGGCAGCCAACUGCUGCUGUAGGGUUUCAUUGAUUCUCCGGGUCCGUGCCAUGUCUUCUUUAAGACAGCGGAUGCGGAUUGUGUUGACACCUGAGUUGGCAUCAAUCUCCAUNNNNNNNNNNNNNNNNNNNNNNNNNNNNNNNNNNNNNNNNNNNNNNNNNNNNNNNNNNNNNNNNNNNNNNNNNNNNNNNNNNNNNNNNNNNNNNNNNNNNCUCAAUGGCUUUAAUUGUGGAUGGGUCCACGUGGAUUCCCUCUUCACUUAGCACGUGUCCUAAGAAUUCGACUCUCCGGAUCCAAAAUUCACAUUUCGAGAACUUCGCAUAAAGCUUCUCUUUUCGUAAUGUCUCUAGAACUUGUCGCAGGUGAUCGCCAUGCUCUUUCUUACUUAGGGAGUAGAUCAGGAUGUCGUCAAUGAAAACGAUGACGAACUGAUCCAAGUAAGGUCGGCAUACUCUAUUCAUCAGAUCCAUGAAGACUGCGGGCGCAUUGGUCAAUCCGAAUGGCAUCACCACGAACUCGUAAUGUCCGUAACGAGUUCGGAAGGCGGUCUUCGGCACAUCCUCCUCUAGCACUCGUAACUGGUGAUAUCCGGAUCUCAGAUCAAUCUUAGAAAAAUAGUUUGCCCCUUGCAGUUGGUCGAAUAGAUCAUCUAUGCGAGGUAGAGGAUAACGAUUCUUGACCGUCAGUUUGUUGAGUUCUCUGUAGUCAAUACACAUACGGAAUGAUCCGUCUUUCUUCUUAACGAACAAGACCGGUGCUCCCCAAGGUGAGAAACUCGGUCUUAUAAAGCCCUUGCUGAGCAGUUCGUUAAGUUGACCAGAGAGUUCCUGCAUCUCAGCUGGUGCUAAACGGUAGGGCGACUUGGCUACUGGGGUAGCUCCUGGGACUAAGUCGAUUCUGAACUCGACUUGUCGUUGCGGAGGUAAUCCGGGUAGUUCUUCUGGGAAAAUGUCGGGGAAGUCGCUCACUACUGGGAGGUUCUUUAGUUCUUUCGUUUCUAGGUUCGUGUCGACGACGUGAGCAAGGAAUGCGUGGUAUUCCUUACGCAGGUAUUUCUGUGCUUGAAUACUUGAUAUGAUGCGAAGACUUGCACCGGGUUUGUCGCCAUAGACUAUAAGAGUUUCGUUAGACGGAAGGUUUAGACGGACUGCUUUCUCGAAGCACAUGAUGUCGGCACGAUGAAGGCUUAACCAGUCCAUGCCAAUGAUGACGUCGAAACUUUUUAUUGAGACUGGCAUGAGGUCGAUUGGAAAUGAAUGGUUGUCUAGAGUUAGGGUACAACCUAAGUAUAUGCUACUCGUAUUUUCAGUUUUUCCAUUAGCCAUUUCUACUGUAAAUAGUUCUUUGAGUGCGUGCGGUGGUUGAUUAAGCAUGCGAGCAAAUUUAUGGUUUACGAAGCUUCGCUCCGCUCCACUAUCGAAUAGAAUGCAUGCAUAGGAGUUAUCGAGGAGGAACGUACCGGUUACUACUGUCGGGUCAGCAACUGCUUCCCCGUGGCCUAUAGCUAGUACCCUCCCUGCUCCUCCAGCAUUCCUCGCUUUGGGGCAGUCCCUCUUAAAGUGGCCUGCUUCGCCACAUCCAUAGCAGGUUGGGCUCGCGCCAGAGCCAGGGACUUGGUUGAUAGGUUGUGCCGGGAACUUACAGAAUCGGACGGUGUGUCCUUUCCUGUUGCAGUUAGAGCACUGCAAUUCACGGCAGGGGCCGUUGUGGUGGUAGCUGCAUUUGUUGCACUUGGGCGAACUUCCAGCAUACCGACUCACCGGAGCAGUAGUAGCAGCAGUAGGGGUUACUGCGGCAUGAAUUGCCACCAAUUGCUGCUUUUUGGCAGCCUGAUGCUUCUUCCUUUCAUCCCAGAAUUUCCGCUUAGUAUCGGCGGGUUUGGAGGGUUCCGGGAUGGCUAGGGUGGUUGUGGUUGCAGGGGUUUUGACUCCAUGGUCAAUGAGUCGUUGUGCCAAUCGUUUGGCACUGUCGAAGGUAGCGGGGUUUGACGCUAGCACAUUCCCCUGAUACGGAGGCACUAGUCCCCAUAUGUACCUCUCGAUCUUCUUCCCCUCGGUGGGAACCAUAUUGGGGCAGAGGGCCACCAGCUCGCUGAAUCGGGCAGUAUAAGCGACCACAUUGGUGCCCUUCAUCGACAGGUUCCAGAGUUCCUGCUCCAGUUUCUGGAUCUCGCCCCUCGGGCAGUAUUCCUCAGUCAUGAGGUCUUUCAUUGUUUCCCAGCCCAUGUCGUUGGCUACGACGAGAGUUAGGGCUUUGACGUGGCCGUUCCACCACGUUAGGGCUUUACCCUCAAAGGUGCAGGCGGCAUAUUUCACCUUGCACGCAGCAGGGCAUGAACAGAUUUCGAAGACUGAUUCAGUCUUCUCGAACCACUGCGAGAGAGCAAUGACUCCGCCGGUGCCAUAGAAAGGCUUCGGCUUGCAGUUUGUAAAAUCCUUGUAAGAGCACUCCCUUGAGCGCACAGGGAUUUCGAUCGGAAUAGAUUCCACAGGGGUUCCACCUCUGCUGGCAUCAGAAGAGUGAUACUGAGCCAUGGCAGUUGCCACUGCUGCAGCUACGACAGCAUUCAGGGCUACAGUAUCGAUGACCGGAGGCGGAGGAGGUGGUGGAGGUGCAGGAUUAUUCCUAUUCCUGGGAGACUUGCGAGGAGGCAUCCUUCAGCUGAAAGUUUAAAAAGAUAAGAAAGAUGGUAAGAAUCAAUUUGUAAGCAACGCGAGAGUGACACAUGGACUAACUAAACAUAGUCCAACAGUUGAAAGGGUGCUUGAAACCACAACAAGCAUUAUUAGAAGGAAAGCACAAGUGUAUAGAUUUUUCCCCAGAUAGAUAGAUCUCAAAAAUUUACUGGUAUUACUGAUGUAAUAAGUUCAGGGAAAAUCGACCUAACAGUAGGUCAUACAUCAUACCAUAUAGAAAAGUUUGACAGUCCUUAGAUUUCAAAUUUGAGUACGGAAGUUAGAAACAUUUUACACACAAGCGCUACUUGGAGCACAGAUGUUAAAGGCUAUCCUUUAAUUAAAAGACGGAGCUGUACUAGACAUCAACCAACGGCGAUGGGAAAAUCCCGGGCGAGUACUGCGGUCGGAUACUUGACGAAACACCUCUUGAAUGGGUCGAUCCUGAGUCCUCUGACGAGCUCGAAGUUCCAAUAUUUCAGCUCGUGAGGCAGCCAACUGCUACAGCAGGGUUUUAUUUGUCCUCCGGGUCCGUUCCAUGUCUUCUUCAAGACGGCGGAUGCUGACUGUGUUGACACCUGAGUCGGCAUCAAUCUCUAUGACCCGGUCGACGGCUGCUCCACCUUGCUCGACAAUACGAGCUAUUCUGCGGAUAAUGACAGGCAGAGCUCGGUCAGUAGAGCCACCAUCGCUGACGUUGUAAAAGGUUCGGUCCCCAAAGUAUGGUAAGGGUUGACCCUGAUCAUCACUCCAGCGGUUCAGGUUGUUGACUUCAGGCUCGGAGUCGGAUCCAUCUGAAAAGCCUUCUGCGAGGUGAUCAUCCAAAGGGAUUGGAUGAUCAACUUCGGGCUCUUCAUCGAUCCACCCGGCAUUGCCUUCAUUGGGAAAGUACGGGUCGCCAUGAUGGAUAUCUAGCCAUCAAGAUCUACGCGAGAAUAGAGGUAUAAGAAUAUAGUAUACGUGUAACUAGUAGCGCAAAAUACUCCUAUAGUAUUUUAAGUUUAAGUUCUAUUGAUCUUCUUGUGGUAUUGUUGGUAAGUUUUUAGACUUGUUAACCUAUCACAACCAUUCUAAGGCAUGUGCUAAUCACUCCUAGGAUCAGCAUAGUUGAUCAGGCUAUGCCAUUCCCAGGACUGACCAUACAUCCCCGAGCUCACUU
rnacentral:lncRNA from 1 species